AAUACUUAGGAAUCUGCCUAUUAGUGGGGGACAACGUUCCGAAAGGAACGCUAAUACCGCAUACGCCCUAAGGGGGAAAGCAGGGGAUCUUCGGACCUUGCGCUAAUAGAUGAGCCUAAGUCAGAUUAGCUAGUCGGUGGGGUAAAGGCCUACCAAGGCGACGAUCUGUAGCGGGUCUGAGAGGAUGAUCCGCCACACUGGGACUGAGACACGGCCCAGACUCCUACGGGAGGCAGCAGUGGGGAAUAUUGGACAAUGGGCGGAAGCCUGAUCCAGCCAUGCCGCGUGUGUGAAGAAGGCCUUUUGGUUGUAAAGCACUUUAAGCGAGGAGGAGGCUACUGGUAUUAAUACUACUGGAUAGUGGACGUUACUCGCAGAAUAAGCACCGGCUAACUCUGUGCCAGCAGCCGCGGUAAUACAGAGGGUGCGAGCGUUAAUCGGAUUUACUGGGCGUAAAGCGUACGUAGGUGGUCUUUUAAGUCGGAUGUGAAAUCCCUGAGCUUAACUUAGGAAUUGCAUUCGAUACUGGGAGACUAGAGUACGGGAGAGGAUGGUAGAAUUCCAGGUGUAGCGGUGAAAUGCGUAGAGAUCUGGAGG
rnacentral:rRNA from 1 species